CGGGGGAGGCCGGAUCCUGGGCUGUGUCCGGCGCCCUGUGCCUGCGCUGGUGGAUUCGCGCUCCCGGGCAGCGCAGCCCCCU
rnacentral:pre_miRNA from 1 species